rnacentral:rRNA from 1 species
GUCUAUGGCCAUACCACCAUCAACUUGCCUGAUCUCGUCUGAUCUCAGAAGCUAAGCAGGGUCAGGCCUAGUCAGUACUUGGAAGGGAGACAGAUCUUUAGAAGAGACUGCUCAGAGACAAGCAGUUUAAAGACA